UCCAACACAACAGAAAUCAACUUCAGCUUCAAACAAUCUGAUCAAACAUUAAGUUGGAGAAAAAAAUGUUAGCCUUGUUUCGUAAAAUAUAACCAAAAUCUUUAGGUUCAAUAAACACUGUUGAAAUAAAUAACAAGGAAACCAGCCUAAUCUAUCAUUGUAUAAAUAUUUCAAGCAUCAGUGUGUAUUCAAACUUGUCAAUCAGAGACUUUAGGGAAACCAACCAUUAUGCCAUAAUAAAGCCUAUAAAGAACAUACAGAGUACAUUUACUAUCCCUGACUUACAAAUGGACACAUCUUUUGAUUUUAUCAAAGCAUGCAAAAGAUAAGCUUUGCAGAUGAUAGAUCAAGCAAAGAAAUACAAGUACCCCUUCACUGAGCAUCUCUAAAAUAGGUAAAUGAUGCUCUCAAGUCUCAUCAACAUUGACGUGUGAAAAUAUACUAAUAUGCUACAUCAUAGUUCCUCCAAAUAUUAGUGGAUGCCUCUUAAUGAAUGCAUAUAUGUAUAAUGUAUGGUUCCCAGGGGGCUGGGUCACAAUUUUGAACAUAAAUGACAAAAAUCCUAAUUACCUUGCGAGGCCAAUGACACCCACUUUAAAAAUAUUCCACUAGAUCAUACAGACGCAAAUCUAAACUAAUUUUAAACAACAAUACCAUCUAUAAAUUCAACAGAUCAAAUUUGCCAAUAUAUAAUAGUAAAAGAAAAAAAAUCCUGUAUGGACCACAUCCCGGUCAGAAAUAAAAAAAAUAACACUGUCGUUACAAUUUACAACACCCUAAUUUCUAGUGAAAAUUAAAUCAAUCAAUUAAUAACCGUCAUAAAAAAACCCAAUUUCAAGUGAGAUGAUAAUCAAAUCAAUCAAUGAGCGACCAAAAAGGCUGAGAUUAGAAGUAGAUCCAAACCCCUAAAAUCCACAAAUCUGGUCGCUAAGAUUAGCAAAAGUAUAACAUUCAUAGUCAGAUCUAAGCAUGGAUCAAUCUCGGAGAAUUAACUAACAACAAUGUACUCACCAGAUACUGGAAGCCUCGGUUCCACCGGCGGCGGGAGAGAUAAUGAGGAACGGAGAGAAAAAAAUUUAGGCUAGUAGCUGAGUUAGAGUAGAAGAACAAGUAGUGGAGUGGAUAGUGAGUUUAAAAUGAUUAAAGAUGUCGCGGCUCGCGCCAACUGCUUCAGCGGGAACUAGGGUUUGCAUUCUAAAUGGAGGGAACUUUGUUUGGCGAUCCAGCGGUUGUCAAAU
rnacentral:lncRNA from 1 species